rnacentral:tRNA from 1 species
GCUGGUGGUUCAGUGGCUAGGACUCAGCACUUUCACUGCUGGGGCUUGGGUUUAAUUCCUAAGAUCCUGCA